rnacentral:rRNA from 1 species
UGGUGCAUGGUUGUCGUCAGCUCGUGUCGUGAGAUGUUGGGUUAAGUCCCGCAACGAGCGCAACCCUUGUCUUUAGUUGCCAUCAUUAAGUUGGGCACUCUAGAGAGACUGCCAGGGAUAACCUGGAGGAAGGUGGGGAUGACGUCAAAUCAUCAUGCCCCUUAUGCUUAGGGCUACACACGUGCUACAAUGGGUAGUACAGAGGGUUGCCAAGCCGUAAGGUGGAGCUAAUCCCUUAAAGCUACUCUCAGUUCGGAUUGUAGGCUGAAACUCGCCUACAUGAAGCUGGAGUUACUAGUAAUCGCAGAUCAGAAUGCUGCGGUGAAUGCGUUCCCGGGUCUUGUACACACCGCCCGUCACACCACGGGA